CGUGCACCAGUGGGGUCCCUCAGCCUGGCCUGUGCCCUCUCGCAAUCCAGGACCCCUCUGGGGAUGUCAGAGACCCAGUUUUUGCCCAAUCCCGCAGGCCAGGCCGAGGGACCCCACUGGUGCACG
rfam:Myotis lucifugus cont2.10947, whole genome shotgun sequence.